GAGAGGGUAAGGUUCUUAACGUGGGUGUUCUACACCGACAGUAAGCUUCUUAACGUGGGUGUUCUACACCGACAGGCGCAAAAUGAAGGAGGACUGGAAAAAGGGCAUCGGCAGAAAUAAGGCAUCGAUGAUCAACUUCUAACCCGGGUCACCACAGCUGGGGCGCUUCGGCAGGGCGCUUCGGCAGGGCGCUUUGACAGGGCGCUUCGGCAGGGCACAUCAGUGGGAUUAUCCAGACGGGCGUGUCACAUUGACAGGAUGUCAACAUGAUGGGAAAUAGAACAUCUGCUGAAGUCUGGUGUUACCGUGUGAAGUUUCCCCAUUGUACACAGGCAGGAAUAUGUAGUUAUAUGUUAUGUGUGUCAGAAAUAAAGUGUCGUCGGACAUUGACAUUGUCAUCAGA